ACGAACGCUGGCGGCGCGCCUAACACAUGCAAGUCGAACGAGCGAGAGAGAGCUUGCUUUCUCGAGCGCGUGGCGAACGGGUGAGUAACGCGUGAGGAACCUGCCUCAAAGAGGGGGACAACAGUUGGAAACGACUGCUAAUACCGCAUAAGCCCACGACCCGGCAUCGGGUAGAGGGAAAAGGAGCAAUCCGCUUUGAGAUGGCCUCGCGUCCGAUUAGCUAGUUGGUGAGGUAACGGCCCACCAAGGCGACGAUCGGUAGCCGGACUGAGAGGUUGAACGGCCACAUUGGGACUGAGACACGGCCCAGACUCCUACGGGAGGCAGCAGUGGGGAAUAUUGCACAACGGGGGAAACCCUGAUGCAGCGACGCCGCGUGGAGGAAGAAGGUCUUCGGAUUGUAAACUCCUGUUGUUGAGGAAGAUAAUGACGGUACUCAACAAGGAAGUGACGGCUAACUACGUG
rnacentral:rRNA from 1 species